CGUGGGGAUGGCAUCUCUGUGGGCUCUCUCUCUUGCUACUGGUUAGCCUCUCGUCCUUGAUAGCUGAUGCUGAAGAGCUCUACCAUACCGCUCAUAGCGUGACUGAGAUUAGUCCUAGUUGAGGUACAAGAGAUGGCUGAUGCCAUCGUCGAUGUCGGAGAUAUAGUCUGUAGCCUCGCCCGAGCGUCGGUUUGCCUUUUAUCUGUCGGUGCAAGGAUUUCUCUAGGUUGGGUUCUAUGGAUCCCAUCAUUAAAUUGUCUGCUAUACUUGCAAAGAAGGUAAUUUCUAUCUACUAUGCUUGUGAAGAUGGUAACGUCUAGGGCUCCAAAACUUUGCAAA
rnacentral:misc_RNA from 1 species